rnacentral:rRNA from 1 species
UACGUAGGGUGCAAGCGUUCUUCGGAAUUACUGGGCGUAAAGCGUGCGCAGGCGGUGAUGUAAGACAGAUGUGAAAUCCCCGGGCUCAACCUGGGAACUGCAUUUGUGACUGCAUCGCUGGAGUGCGGCAGAGGGGGAUGGAAUUCCGCGUGUAGCAGUGAAAUGCGUAGAUAUGCGGAGGAACACCGAUGGCGAAGGCAAUCCCCUGGGCCUGCACUGACGCUCAUGCACGAAAGCGUGGGGAGCAAACAGG